AGCGAACGCUGGCGGCGUGCUUAACACAUGCAAGUCGAGUGCGCGUUUCGUAGCAAUACGGGAUGGCGCACGGCGCACGGGUGAGGAACACGUGGGCAACAUGCCCUCUGAUGGGGAAUAACCCCGCGAAAGCGGGGCUAAUACCGCAUAAGAUUCCGGGGACCUCGGUCCCUGGACUGAAAGCCCGCAAGGGCGUCGGAGGAGUGGCCCGCGGCCGAUUAGCUUGUUGGCGGGGAACGGCCCACCAAGGCAAUGAUCGGUAGCCGGUCUGAGAGGAUGAUCGGCCACACUGGAACUGAGACACGGUCCAGACUCCUACGGGAGGCAGCAGUGGGGAAUCUUGCGCAAUGGGCGAAAGCCUGACGCAGCGACGCCGCGGU
rnacentral:rRNA from 1 species